rnacentral:rRNA from 1 species
UACAGAGGUGCCGAGCGUUAGGCGGAAUCACUGGGCUUAAAGCGUGUGUAGGCGGAUGCCUAAGUACCUUGUGAAAUCCCACAGCUCAACUGUGGAACUGCUUGGUAUACUGGGUGUCUUGAGCCACUUAGGGGCUACCGGAACAAAUGGUGGAGCGGUGAAAUGCGUAGAUAUCAGUUGGAACGCCAAUGGUGAAAACAGGUAGCUGGGAGUGUGCUGACGCUGAGACACGAAAGCCAGGGGAGCAAACGGG